rnacentral:rRNA from 1 species
ACUCAAAGGAAUUGACGGGGACCCGCACAAGCGGUGGAGCAUGUGGUUUAAUUCGAAGCAACGCGAAAAACCUUACCCACUCUUGACAUCUGACUGAUCGGCCGGUAAUGCGGUCUUUCCUUCGGGACAGUCAAGACAGGUGGUGCAUGGUUGUCGUCAGCUCGUGUCGUGAGAUGUUGGGUUAAGUCCCGCAACGAGCGCAACCCUUAUCUUCAGUAGCCAGCAAGUCAAGUUGGGGACUCUGGAGAGACUGUCCGGGAUAACCGGGAGGAAGGUGGGGAUGACGUCAAAUCAUCAUGCCCCUUAUGAGUGGGGCUACACACGUGCUACAAUGGCGUAAACAAAGGGAAGCAACCCUGUGAAGGUGAGCCAAUCCCAAAAAAUACGUCACAGUUCGGAUUGUAGUCUGCAACUCGACUACAUGAAGCCGGAAUCGCUAGUAAUCGUAAAUCAGCAUGUUACGGUGAAUACGUUCCCGGGUCUUGUACACACCGCCCGU